rnacentral:rRNA from 1 species
UACGAAGGGGGCUAGCGUUGCUCGGAAUUACUGGGCGUAAAGGGUUUGUAGGUGGCCGGCUAAGUCAGACGUGAAAUCCCUCAGCUUAACUGGGGAACUGCGUCUGAAACUGAUCGGCUCGAGUGCAGGAGAGGAACGCGGAAUUCCAGGUGUAGCGGUGAAAUGCGUAGAUAUCUGGAGGAACACCGGUGGCGAAGGCGGCGUUCUGGACUGCAACUGACACUGUAAAACGAAAGCCAGGGGAGCAAACGGG